UCGCGCAGUGAAUCGCCACAUUUUAUGCACAUUUUUGACCACGCUAUAUCGAUUAUUUAUGCGCUCGUACGUUAUCGUUUUUCGUGAUACUUGAGAAUGCAAAUUUCUUUCAUUUUGCUCUGCAAAACUAUUCAGGAUUACGAGGCGCAGGACGUAGACCGAAGGCAAGAACGUGGGUCUCGCGUUUAUGGAUGAACCGAUAUAUGACCAAUGCGAGUAAAAUUCGAAUCGGCGAGCGAUUCUUGCUUGAUUGUACUUGGCAGGUGGCGCGGAAUGUUUUUGAAAAACUCACCGAAUAAACGAAUACAACGGUCUGUAAGUACGUUUGGAAAAAUAUGUUUUAACCCGAUCUCGUAAAAUGUUACCGCGAUGUGCUGAAUUUAAGAUCGAAACUGGCCAAGAAAUGAAAUUCAGUUCUUUAUAUGUAUUCUGAAAUGGUAUAAUUUUGAUGGUGGGGCACGUGAGACUUAGCGAUAUAGUACAGUGGUUCCCAAACCCUUUUUAGUCACGGCGCAUUUUUAAAAAUGUAGAGAUAUCGCGACGCACGUGGUAUAUAAAUUUGACAAUUUAUUCGAAAGAGGCAUUUAUACGCGC